AGAGUUUGAUCAUGGCUCAGAACGUACGCUGGCGGCACGCCUAACACAUGCAAGUCGAACGAAGUAGCAAUACUUAGUGGCAGACGGGUGAGUAACAUGUAGGUAUCUGCCCUUUGGCCUGGAAUAACACGAGGAAACUUGUGCUAAUACCGGAUAAGUCUUUACGGAGAAAGCUUUAUGCACCAUUGGAUGAGCCCGCACUUGAUUAGUUUGUUGGUAGGGUAAUGGCCUACCAAGACUAUGAUCAAUAGCUGAUUUGAGAGGAUGAUCAGCCACAUUGGGACUGAGACACGGCCCAAACUCCUACGGGAGGCAGCAGUGGGGAAUCUUGCACAAUGGAGGAAACUCUGAUGCAGCGAUGCCGCGUGAGUGAAGAAGGCCCUUGGGUUGUAAAGCUCUUUCGUCGGGGAAGAAAAUGACUGUACCCGAAUAAGAAGGUCCGGCUAACUUCGUGCCAGCAGCCGCGGUAAUACGAAGGGACCUAGCGUAGUUCGGAAUUACUGGGCUUAAAGAGUUCGUAGGUGGUUGAAAAAGUUAGUGGUGAAAUCCCAGAGCUUAACUCUGGAACUGCCAUUAAAACUUUUCAGCUAGAGUAUGAUAGAGGAAAGCAGAAUUUCUAGUGUAGAGGUGAAAUUCGUAGAUAUUAGAAAGAAUACCAAUUGCGAAGGCAGCUUUCUGGAUCAUUACUGACACUGAGGAACGAAAGCAUGGGUAGCGAAGAGGAUUAGAUACCCUCGUAGUCCAUGCCGUAAACGAUGUGUGUUAGACGUUGGAAAUUUAUUUUCAGUGUCGCAGGGAAACCGAUAAACACACCGCCUGGGGAGUACGACCGCAAGGUUAAAACUCAAAUGAAUUGACGGGGACCCGCACAAGUAGUGGAGCAUGUGGUUUAAUUCGAAGAUACGCGCAGAACCUUACCAACACUUGACAUGUUCGUCGCGACUCUAAGAGAUUAGAGUUUUCGGUUCGGCCGGACGAAACACAGGUGCUGCAUGGCUGUCGUCAGCUCGUGUCGUGAGAUGUUGGGUUAAGUCCCGCAACGAGCGCAACCCUCACUUUUAGUUGCCAUCAUUAAGUUGGGCACUCUGAAAGAACUGCCAGUGAUAAGCUGGAGGAAGGUGGGGAUGACGUCAAGUCCUCAUGGCCCUUACGUGUUGGGCUACACACGUGCUACAAUGGCAUCUACAACAGGAAGCAAAACGGCAACGUUAAGCAAAUCCCGAAAAGAUGCCUCAGUUCGGAUUGCACUCUGCAACUCGAGUGCAUGAAGCUGGAAUUACUAGUAAUCGUGGAUCAGCGUGCCACGGUGAAUGCGUUCCCGGGUCUUGUACACACCGCCCGUCACACCAUGGGAGUUGGUUCUACCUUAAGGCAAGGUUUCAAACCCUUGACCACGGUAUAGUCAGCGACUGGGGUGAAGUCGUAACAAGGUAGCCGUAGGGGAACCUGCGGCUG
rnacentral:rRNA from 1 species